rnacentral:misc_RNA from 1 species
GAAAGGGACUACUUUAACUUGCCUUGUUGAAAACGUAAACGGAAACGCCAUAUUUUCUCAUAAAGCUUGAAGAAGAAAAACAGAUUUUUUUUUUUUGGCCUGAAAAAGAGACUGAUAGAGGAAGAAGAAAGUUCUAGAAAGAAAAUGGUUCUAUGGGAGAUCACAUUGGGAACGGCGUAUUUUUUGGGUCUGAAGCGAACUUACAGGCUGUUCUUGAGGAUUCAGCGUAAGCUCAUUAGUCCAAAGUAUCCUAGGCUUCGUGAUUUCGCUCAAAGGCGAACACGAGCUGCAUUUGAUAUGGCACUGAUCGUUCAUCGCAAGGUACAGGAAAGAGAUAUUGAAGCUGGUCGGAACCUUGGUAAUUGGAUCCUUCGAUGGCUUGACAAAAUGAAGCCAUCUGCUAAUAUUCGAGGCUCAGAUAACAUUGCAAUUACCAGUGCAACUAAGCAGCUUAGGAACUCAUCUCACUCCCCCAAGCCUGAAGCUUUCCAGAAAUACGGUGCUGGCAAAGACAAGGAAUCCAGCAGCAGGCAUCUGUUUACCUCAGCUAGUAACACAUGGCAGAAAGCAUACCCGACCAUUUCCAUGAUGAUGAAACCAAGAAGCCCAGCUGGAACAAAUAUCCAAUACAGGCAGUUAAACACUGUUUCGCCUACUAGUUUCAAACCCAUGAAACAUGGUUUUGAGGGAGUGAUCCGACCGGACAUAUUGCAGUGGAUUCAACGAAGCUAAUCCAUUAACUACUCUGUUGCUGCCUUUUGGCUUUUACACUAGUGGACUUGAACGUCUGCAGAAGGUGCAUAUACGGCACAAAUAAAAGCUCACUAGAUCAGUGCCGUCAUGAAAAAAUUUUAGUCUCUGUUUUCUUUUGGCUGAACAGUCAAUAUUGUACAUUCGUUUCAGAUUCUGACCUGUGUGUACCUCAACCAACCUUGAUUCUUCUGUUGUUUCUACUCUGUUGUAGCCUCUAAU